rnacentral:lncRNA from 1 species
UUCUGGGCCAAGUUAGAAAUAACCAGUCUAUUUUCCCUUUAUUUUAUUUUAUUUUAUUUUAUUUUAUGUCUUUCAGUGGAGUUGUAGCUUCUGAAAGCGUCUGUGUUUAUUAGCCUUGUGUGUCACUCAUGUUUGACCCCACCCACAUUUCCUUCUCCUCCCCUCUUCAGCCAGCCUAUGAUAACACUAAAGAUUAUUAAUGCUGGCUUCGUAUCUCAUUAAAGACAGGAUUGUCACUUGAACUACUUCUAUAGCAUUCAAAGUGGCCACGGCCAACACCACCGUAUGUUUCUUCAUUGCUCUGAAGGUCAAGAGCCUCAUUUUGUUUUCCUGGUUAGAUUUUUUUCCUCCUUGCCUUGAAUGAAAUAACCGUUUUAACAGUAGGCUCUUAGCAUCACACCACAUAGUCAUUCCUCAUGUUCUUGUUUAACAAGCACUGAGGUUCUGGUUUAAAUUAAAUAGCUGCAAAUGAGACAAUUUAUAACCCAUUAGGCUGGGUGGAAAAUUGUUUCUCAAAAGCAAAUAAGUAAUAAAUCUGGUAUCUGCCUAUAACUCACAGUUGAUAAGAAAGUAGCCAGAACUCACUAGCAUUAUAUAUGAUUUGGGUUCUGAGUAACUGGGGAGUGUUAGCUUUGUGACUUUGUAGCAGCAGGUCUUAUUAGGAAAGUCUGUUGGCCUUUUACAGGGCAUUAGUCCCUUUGUCGUUUGCCAUGGAUGCCUUAAGUUCUUUGGAGUCUCAUUUAAGAAUUUCUUUUCUCGAAGCAUGACAAGUGUAUGCAAUACUUACAUGCUCACUCGUUUACCUGUGCUUAGUUUGUGCUGGGUUAUUUAAUUGCACUUUCCAGCAUCAUGCUUCCUCCUUACAAAUAUGAUAUUCUUUAUUGUUACACUAAGGUGUUGAUCAUGUAUCUGUCCCUGUAAAGAAUUAAUAAACUAUUUUCCAGAC